AGAAAAAAGGAAAGCGAGUCACAGGCCACUCAACGCCUACUCCAUGGGUCUGAUUUGCUGAGACACCAACUUCACCUUCCUAACAAGGUGCAGCUCAAAAGAAGAUGAAGGCUACCAGAAGACAUGAACAAAGGAUAAGUGGCACUAAACAUCUGAAGAACCUUUAUGUGUAUAUUGACCCCCAUACAGAAGGCAGACCAGACUGUGAUACUGCUGGAGAUAGAGGCAUCUUCUACAGCAUGUGUAAAAUUGUAAUGUGGGUGGAGGAUGUUGAGAAGCGGCAAUUGCUUGAAAUUAAUAAACUGUGCUUAAAACUUGCCUUCAUCCUGUCUUCUGUUCUGCCUCCAUAUUCUACUGCAAAGCUGUGAAAUAUAUUAACAACUUUUAAAUGCACUAGAAAUUAAGUGUAGUUCUUUGAAUGGGGUGACUCCUUAGGUAUCAGAGGCAUUGGAGAAUCUCUGGGAAAAGUCUUCAUGAACAUGUAAAAUGGAGCUUUUGUUAAGUUGCCUCUCCCAUAGCUUUGGAAGCCCCUCAGCACCAAAGAUUUAAUGUGAAUUCACUUUUAUUUUUACUGUGUCUUUUUUUAUCUUUUACAGCAAGGUGUUAACCUGUAUUGAGUCAGGGGAUGAAAGAAUUGGAUUGUAUUGCAGUGAAAGGAAGCCAUAUAUACUUAAUCUUUAUAAGGGAAAAAAUAGGUGGGGAGUAGCAGCAGCAUGGUGAAGUGGGAGGGAGUGUGUGUUUUCAUUUAUUAACUUGUUAAUUAUGUAUCACAUUGUUAGUUUAAGUAUGUUUGUGUGUGGGUACAGAAGUGAGACUUAGCAUGUGUGUUCUACACUUCUGUGUCCUAGUUUUGUUAAUUUAAGUAUGUAGAUAAUUAAAAUUUAAUUUUAACUUGUGAUAAUACUUACUCUAAUUGUAAAAUCUUGGCAUUCCUUCCAUCAUACAUCUAUUGAAUUCUUCACUGUCUUAAUUAUUUCCUCAUAAACAUCAAUUUUGAUGAUUGUGGCCCAGGUAUUUCUAUAAAGUAGGUAUGAGGUAAUUAUUUAUAAAAUAAUGAAAACCCACAAACAUUUACAAAGAUUCAGUGUUUGGCUUAAGUUACUGAGAAAUA
rnacentral:lncRNA from 1 species